rnacentral:rRNA from 1 species
UACGUAGGUGGCAAGCGUUGUCCGGAUUUACUGGGUGUAAAGGGCGUGCAGCCGGGAAGACGAGUCAGAUGUGAAAUCCCGCGGCUCAACCGCGGAACUGCAUUUGAAACUGUUUUUCUUGAGUACCGGAGAGGUCAUCGGAAUUCCUUGUGUAGCGGUGAAAUGCGUAGAUAUAAGGAAGAACACCAGUGGCGAAGGCGGAUGACUGGACGGCAACUGACGGUGAGGCGCGAAAGCGUGGGGAGCAAACAGG